rnacentral:rRNA from 1 species
CCGGGAUGAUGGGGACACUGUUGGGACCGCCUCUGCUAAAGAGGAGGAAGGAAUGGGCAACGGUAGGUCAGCAUGCCCCGAAUUACCCGGGCUACACGCGGGCUACAAUGGGCAGGACAAUGGGUAUCGACACCGAGAGGUGAAGGCAAUCUCCUAAACCUGUCCUUAGUUCGGAUUGCGGGCUGCAACUCGCCCACAUGAAGCUGGAAUCCGUAGUAAUCGCGUCUCAAAAUGGCGCGGUGAAUAUGUCCCUGCUCCUUGCA